rnacentral:rRNA from 14 species
AAUUGACGGGGGCCCGCACAAGCGGUGGAGCAUGUGGUUUAAUUCGAUGAUACGCGAGGAACCUUACCAGGGCUUAAAUGCAGAAUGACAGGUUUAGAGAUAGACUUUUCUUCGGACAUUUUGCAAGGUGCUGCAUGGUUGUCGUCAGCUCGUGCCGUGAGGUGUCAGGUUAAGUCCUAUAACGAGCGCAACCCCUACC